rfam:Eutrema salsugineum unplaced genomic scaffold scaffold_12, whole genome shotgun sequence.
ACGUCAUGAUGAGGGCAAUGAAUAGUAUAACUCUUGAACCUUUCCUAUGCUUCACAAAAGCUAUCACGGUUAUUUUUUGUGAAGCUUGAUAUUUCAUUCCUCAGCCU